rnacentral:rRNA from 1 species
CACGUAGGGGACGAGCGUUGUCCGGAUUCAUUGGGCGUAAAGCGCGCGUAGGCGGCUCGGAAAGUCGGUCGUGAAAUGCCGGGGCUCAACCCCGGGACUGCGUCCGAUACUCCCGAGCUGGAGGCAGGUAGGGGAGAUCGGAAUUCCUGGUGUAGCGGUGAAAUGCGUAGAUAUCUGGAGGAACACCGGUGGCGAAGGCGGCAUCCUGGACCAUUACUGACACUGAAAAGCGAAAGCCAGGGGAGCAAACGGG